GACCUGAUAGCACAGUUGGUUAGUGCGUCUGUUCAAAUUGUAGCAUGAGACAUUGAGACAAGUCAGCAGACGACUCCGGUUCGAACCCGGGUCAGGUCA